GCUGGCGGCAGGCCUAACACAUGCAAGUCGAGCGGCAGCACGGGAAGCUUGCUUYCUGGUGGCGAGCGGCGGACGGGUGAGUAAUGCAUAGAAAUCUGCCCGGUAGUGGGGGAUAACCUGGGGAAACCCAGGCUAAUACCGCAUACGUCCUACGGGAGAAAGCAGGGGAUCUUCGGACCUUGCGCUAUCGGAUGAGUCUAUGUCGGAUUAGCUUGUUGGUGAGGUAAUGGCUCACCAAGGCGACGAUCCGUAGCUGGUCUGAGAGGAUGAUCAGCCACAUCGGGACUGAGACACGGCCCGAACUCCUACGGGAGGCAGCAGUGGGGAAUAUUGGACAAUGGGCGAAAGCCUGAUCCAGCCAUGCCGCGUGUGUGAAGAAGGCCUUCGGGUUGUAAAGCACUUUCAGUGGGGAAGAAAGCCUUGGGGCUAAUACCCUCGAGGAAGGACAUCACCCACAGAAGAAGCACCGGCUAACUCCGUGCCAGCAGCCGCGGUAAUACGGAGGGUGCGAGCGUUAAUCGGAAUUACUGGGCGUAAAGCGCGCGUAGGCGGUCUGAUAAGCCGGUUGUGAAAGCCCCGGGCUCAACCUGGGAACGGCAUCCGGAACUGUCAGGCUAGAGUGCAGGAGAGGAAGGUAGAAUUCCCGGUGUAGCGGUGAAAUGCGUAGAGAUCGGGAGGAAUACCAGUGGCGAAGGCGGCCUUCUGGACUGACACUGACGCUGAGGUGCGAAAGCGUGGGUAGCAAACAGGAUUAGAUACCCUGGUAGUCCACGCCGUAAACGAUGUCGACUAGCCGUUGGGCUCCUUGAGAGCUUUGUGGCGCAGUUAACGCGAUAAGUCGACCGCCUGGGGAGUACGGCCGCAAGGUUAAAACUCAAAUGAAUUGACGGGGGCCCGCACAAGCGGUGGAGCAUGUGGUUUAAUUCGAUGCAACGCGAAGAACCUUACCUACCCUUGACAUCGUGCGAACUUUCCAGAGAUGGAUUGGUGCCUUCGGGAACGCACAGACAGGUGCUGCAUGGCUGUCGUCAGCUCGUGUUGUGAAAUGUUGGGUUAAGUCCCGUAACGAGCGCAACCCUUGUCCUUAUUUGCCAGCGAGUAAUGUCGGGAACUCUAAGGAGACUGCCGGUGACAAACCGGAGGAAGGUGGGGACGACGUCAAGUCAUCAUGGCCCUUACGGGUAGGGCUACACACGUGCUACAAUGGCCGGUACAAAGGGUUGCGAAGCCGCGAGGUGGAGCUAAUCCCGAAAAGCUGGUCUCAGUCCGGAUCGGAGUCUGCAACUCGACUCCGUGAAGUCGGAAUCGCUAGUAAUCGUGAAUCAGAAUGUCACGGUGAAUACGUUCCCGGGCCUUGUACACACCGCCCGUCACACCAUGGGAGUGGACUGCACCAGAAGUGGUUAGCCUAACUUCGGAGGGCGAUCACCACGGUGUGGUUCAUGACUGGGGUGAAGUCGUAACAAGGUAGCCGUAGGG
rnacentral:rRNA from 1 species